AUGUCAGUCACACACACACGUCAGUCACACACACACACACACACACACACGUCAGUCAAACACACACAUAUGAAAGAGGCACACACAGAGACACACGUCAGUCACACACACACACACGUCAGUCACACACAGACACACACACACACACACUUCAGUCACACACACACGUCAGUCACACACAGACGUAUGAAAGAGGCACACACAGAGACACACAUCAGUCACACACAGACACAGACACACACACACACACGUCAGCCACACACACGUCAGUCACACACACACAAACGUCAGUCACACACACAUAUGCAGAGGGACACACAGAGACACACGUCAGUCACACACACAUAUGCAGAGGGACACAGCCACACACACACACACACACACACGUCAGUCACACACACACACACACACACGCCAGUCACACACAGACACACACACGUCAGUCACACACACAUAUGCAGAGGCACACACAGAGACACACGUCAGUCACACACACACACGUCAGUCACACACAGACACACACACACGUCUGUCACACACACACACACACACACACACACACACACGUCAGUCACACACAGACACACACACGUCAGUCACACACACAUAUACAGAGGCACACACAGAGACAUACGUCAGUCACACACACACACACGUCAGUCACACACACAUAUGCAGAGGCACACACAGAGACACACGUCAGUCACACACACACACGUCAGUCACACACACACACACACACACGUCAGUCACACACAGACACACACACACGUCUGUCACACACACACACACACACACACGUCAGUCACACACAGACACACACACGUCAGUCACACACACAUAUGCAGAGGCACACACAGAGACACACGUCAGUCACACACACACACGUCAGUCACACACAGACACACACACGUCAGUCACACACACACAUAUGCAGAGGCACACACAGAGACACACGUCAGUCACACACACACACGUCAGUCACACACACAUAUGCAGAGGCACACACAGAGACAUACGUCAGUCACACACACACACACACAUCAGUCACACACACACGUGGCAGGAAUGAGUAGGUGA
rnacentral:lncRNA from 1 species